rnacentral:rRNA from 1 species
GACGAACGCUGGCGGCGUGCCUAACGCAUGCAAGUCGAGCGGAGACAGUGAGUAGCUUGCUACGAGCUGUUUUAGCGGCGGACGGGUGAGUAACGCGUGAGCAACCUUUCCCAGACGGGGGAAUAACACACCGAAAGGUGUACUAAUACCGCAUAAGACCACGGGAUCACAUGGUUCUGGGGUAAAAGAAUUAUCGGUUUGGGGUGGGCUCGCGUCCGAUUAGGUAGUUGGUGAGGUAACGGCCCACCAAGCCGACGACCGGUAGCCGACCUGAGAGGGUGAUCGGCCACAUUGGGACUGAGACACGGCCCAAACUCCUACGGGAGGCAGCAGUGGGGAAUAUUGGGCAAUGGAGGAAACUCUGACCCAGCAACGCCGCGUGGAGGAAGAAGGUUUUCGGAUCGUAAACUCCUUUUGACAGGGAAGAGAGAGGACGGUACCUGAGGAGGAAGCCACGGCUAACUACGUGCCAGCCGCCGCCGUAA